UUAGCUCAGUUGGAUAGAGCAACUGCCUUCUAAGCAGUAGGUCGAGGGUUCGAAUCCCCCA
rnacentral:tRNA from 2 species